CAGUAGCCGCGGGAAUACGGAGGGUGCAAGCGUUAAUCGGAAUUACUGGGCGUAAAGCGCACGCAGGCGGUCUGACAAGUCAGAUGUGAAAUCCCCGGGCUUAACCUGGGAACUGCAUUUGAAACUGUCAGGCUGGAGUCUUGUAGAGGGGGGUGGAAUUCCAGGUGUAGCGGUGAAAUGCGUAGAGAUCUGGAGGAAUACCGGUGGCGAAGGCGGCCCCCUGGACAAAGACUGACGCUCAGGUGCGAAAGCGUGGGGAGCAAACAGGAUUAGAGACCCGUGUAGUCCCUGUCUCUUAUAC
rnacentral:rRNA from 1 species